UACGAAGGGGGCUAGCGUUGCUCGGAAUCACUGGGCGUAAAGCGCACGUAGGCGGAUUGCUAAGUCAGGGGUUAAAUCCUGGAGCUCAACUCCAGAACUGCCUUUGAUACUGGCGACCUUGAGUCCGGGAGAGGUGAGUGGAACUGCGAGUGUAGAGGUGAAAUUCGUAGAUAUUCGCAAGAACACCAGUGGCGAAGGCGGCUCACUGGCCCGGUACUGACGCUGAGGUGCGAAAGCGUGGGGAGCAAACAGG
rnacentral:rRNA from 1 species